GAGUAAGGGUCUCCGGCCCGAACCUCCAACCCUUUGUUGUCAAAACUACCUUGUUGCUUUGGCGGGACCGUUCGGUCUCCGAGCGCACCGGUUCUUCGGAUUUGGUGAGCGCCCGCCAGAGUCCAACCAAACUCUUGUAUUAAACCAGUCGUCUGAGUAUAAAAUUUUAAUUUAAUUAAAACUUUCAACAACGGAUCUCUUGGUUCU
rnacentral:misc_RNA from 1 species